rnacentral:miRNA from 1 species
GUCUCUGUAUGUAUGUGUCUGUGUGUGUGUCUCUGUAUGUAUGUGACUGUGUCAUACAGACACAUACAUACAGAGACACACACAGACACAUACA